UGAGGUCUUAACACAUUACUAACUAAUAAUAAAUUAAUUAAUCAGCCAGCAGGAAGUGAUGUAAUAUCAAGGGAGCUAUAAAGGGAUGCCCCUAUAUUGCCUCUCAUUCUGUAGUUGGUAUUCAAUGAGGUUGCACUUGUUCCUGUAAAAAGGAAUAGUUUCGUUCAGGAUUUGAAAUUUUCCUAAGUUCUCUGUUUGGUGACAUGUAUAAACAGAGGUAGACUAUAAGGUUCCACCAUUCUUGAUUGAAAAUAGGGAACGUAACAUCAUCUAAUUUCAACCAAAUUUAUAUAUAUUUUUUUGAAGUCUAUCUAGAUAUUAUAUUUAUCGAAUUGAAUAUGUGAUUGGAUGUAAUCAUUGGAUAUUCUAAACCUUUCUAAUCAAUGGUAAUCACUCCUACUAUAAGAACUGAUUCCAAACCCCUGAUGAAGUCCUAACGGACGAAACGCGUUGGGUUUUGCAACGUCUGGUUAACAAAGUCCUUAUCACAAACAUCUGGUUGGAGAUACAUCCAUUUCGAGUUCUGACUGUGAUCACCUGGCUGUAAAAUCCUCACAUCCAACUGUAAUUUAUGUAUAAGAUUGUAAUAUUGUUUUAUAUGAAUUUUUAGAAGGUUGUGUCAAUAACGAACGCUUAGGAUAAAUAUC